GAAAGAAACACAACAACAAAAAUGAUCAAGAUUUGUGUCAUCUUAUUUCUCUGUGCUGCCUUGGGAUUUCCUGUAAAAACUGGAGCCCAAAGCACAACCACAGCUGCUCCAACUACAACCACAACAGCUCCAACUACAACAACAACAACUGCUUCAACUACAACCACAGCAGUUCCAACUACAACAAAAACUGCUUCAACCACAACAACAACUACUUCAACUACAACCACAGCAGCUCCAACUACAACAACAACAACUGCUUCUACUACAACAACAACAGCUCCAACUACAACAACAACUACUUCAACUGCAACAACAACAGCUCCAACUACAACAACAACUGCUUCAACCACAACCACAACAGCUCCAACAACAAUAACAACAGCUUCAACAACAACCACAGGUGCUCCAACUACAACAACUGCUUCAACUACAACCACUACAGCUCCAACUACAACAACAACCGCUUCAACUACAACCACAACAGCUCCAACUACAACAACAACUGCUUCAACUACAACCACAACAGCUCCAACAACAACUACAACAACAACUGCAUCAACUACAACCACAACAGCUCCAACAACAACAACAACUGCUUCAACCACAACCACAGCUGCUCCAACUAUAACAACGUCUGCUUCAACCACAGCAACAACAGCUCCUACUACAUCAACAACUGCUUCAACCACAUCCACAGCUGCUCCAACAACAAUAACAACAGCUUCAACAACAACCACAGGUGCUCCAACUACAACAACUGCUUCAACUACAACCACUACAGCUCCAACUACAACAACAACCGCUUCAACUACAACCACAACAGCUCCAACUACAACAACAACUGCUUCAACUACAACCACAACAGCUCCAACAACAACUACAACAACAACUGCAUCAACUACAACCACAACAGCUCCAACAACAACAACAACUGCUUCAACCACAACCACAGCUGCUCCAACUAUAACAACGUCUGCUUCAACCACAGCAACAACAGCUCCUACUACAUCAACAACUGCUUCAACCACAUCCACAGCUGCUCCAACAACAAUAACAACAGCUUCAACAACAACCACAGGUGCUCCAACUACAACAACUGCUUCAACUACAACCACAGCCACUCCAACUACAACAACAACUGCUUCAACUACAACCACAUCUCCUCCAACUACAACAACAACUGCUUCAACUACAAUCACAACAGCUCCAACUACAACAACAACUGCUUCAACCACAACCACAUCAGCUCCAACAACAAUAACAACAGCUUCAACAACAACCACAGGUGCUCCAACUACAACAACUGCUUCAACUACAACCACAGCCACUCCAACUACAACAACAACUGCUUCAACUACAACCACAUCUCCUCCAACUACAACAACAACUGCUUCAACUACAAUCACAACAGCUCCAACUACAACAACAACUGCUUCAACCACAUCCACAUCAGCUCCAACAACAAUAACAACAGCUUCAACAACAACCACAGCAGCUCCAACUGCAACAACGGUUUCAACAACAACCACAGCUGCUCCUACUGCAACAACUGCCUCAACUACAACCACAGCUGCUCCAACUACAACAACAACUGCUUCAACCACAACCACAUCAGCUCCAACAACAAUAACAACAGCUCCAACAACAACCACAGCUGUUCCAACUACACCAACAUCUGCUUCAACAACAACCACAAGUGCUCCAACUGCAACAACUACUUCAACUACAACCACCACAGCUCCAACUACAACAACAGUUUCAACAACAACCACAUCAGCUCCAACAACAGUAACAACAGCUUCAACAACAACCACAGCUGCUCCAACUGCAACAACUACUUCAACUACAACCACCACAGCUCCAACUACAACAACAGUUUCAACAACAACCACAUCAGCUCCAACAACAAUAACAACAGCUUCAACAACAACCACAGCUGUUCCAACUACACCAACAUCUGCUUCAACAACAACCACAAGUGCUCCAACUACAACAUCUGCUUCAACCACAACCACAUCAGCUCCAACAACAAUAACAACAGCUUCAACAACAACCACAGCUGUUCCAACUACACCAACAUCUGCUUCAACAACAACCACAAGUGCUCCAACUACAACAUCUGCUUCAACCACAACCACAUCAGCUCCAACAACAAUAACAACAGCUUCAACAACAACAACAGCUGUUCCAACUACAACAACAACUGCUUCAACUACACCAACAUCUACUUCAACAACCCUAGCUGCUCCAACUACACCAACAUCUGCUUCAACAACAACCACAAGUGCUCCAACUACAACAUCUGCUUCAACUACAAUCACAGCUGCUCCUACUGCAACAACUACUUCAACUACAACCACCGCAGCUCCAACUGCAACAAGGAUUUCAACUACAACCACAGCUCCAACUACAACAACAACUGCUUCAACGACAACCACAUCAGCUCCAACAACAAUAACAACAGUUUCAACAACAACCACAGCUGUUCCAACUACACCAACAUCUGCUUCAACAACAACCACAGCUGCUCCUACUGCAACAACUACUUCAACUACAACCACCACAGCUCCAACUACAACAACAGUUUCAACAACAACCACAUCAGCUCCAACAACAAUAACAACAGCUUCAACAACAACCACAGCUGUUCCAACUACACCAACAUCUGCUUCAACAACAACCACAAGUGCUCCAACUACAACAUCUGCUUCAACCACAACCACAUCAGCUCCAACAACAAUAACAACAGUUUCAACAACAACCACAGCUGUUCCAACUACACCAACAUCUGCUUCAACAACAACCACAGCAGCUCCUACUGCAACAACUACUUCAACUACAACCACCGCAACUCCAACUGCAACAACUGCUUCAACUACAACCACAUCUGCUCCUACUGCAACAACUGCCUCAACUACAACCACAUCUGCUCCAGCUUCAAUAUCAUCUGCUUCAACGACAGCCACAGCUGCUCCUACUGCAACAACUACUUCAACUACAAUCACAGCUGCUCCAACUUCAACAACAACGACUUCAACUACAACCACAGCAGCUCCAGCUUCAAUAACAUCUGCUUCAACCACAAUCACAGCUGCUCCAACUUCAACAACAACGACUUCAACUGCAACCACCGCAGCUCCAACUGCAACAACGGUUUCAACAACAACCACAGCCGCUCCUACUGCAACAACAAUUUCAACUGCAACCACCGCUGCUCCUACUGCAACAACGGUUUCAACUACAAUCACUGCUGCUCCAACUGCAACAACGGUUUCAACAACAACCACAGCCGCUCCUACUGCAACAACAAUUUCAACUGCAACCACUGCUGCUCCAACUGCAACAACGGUUUCAACAACAACCACAGCAGCUCCAACUGCAACAACUGCUUCAACAACAACCACAGUUGCUCCUACUGCAACAACUGCUUCAACUACAGCCACAGCUGCUCCAGCUGCAACAACUACUUCAACUACAACCACCGUAGCUCCAACUGCCACAACAGUUUCAACAACAACCACAGCCGCUCCUACUGCAACAACAAUUUCAACUACAACCACAGCCGCUCCUACUGCAACAACUACUUCAACUACAACCACAGCCGCUCCUACUGCAACAACUACUUCAACCACAACCACAGCCGCUCCUACUGCAACAACUACUUCAACUACAACCACGGCCGCUCCUACUGCAACAACUACUAAAUCCACAACCACAGUUUCUGCAGCAUCCCUUCACAAAGCAAGCUUCAUUUUGGUUAUUCUAGUUUUCACAGCCAUUUGUUGA
rnacentral:lncRNA from 1 species